UAGGGAAUCUUCCGCAAUGGACGCAAGUCUGACGGAGCAACGCCGCGUGAGUGAAGAAGGAUUUCGGUUCGUAAAACUCUGUUGUUAGAGAAGAACAGCGCAUAGAGUAACUGUUAUGCGUGUGACGGUAUCUAACCAGAAAGCCACGGCUAACUACGUGCCAGCAGCCGCGGUAAUACGUAGGUGGCAAGCGUUGUCCGGAUUUAUUGGGCGUAAAGCGAGCGCAGGCGGUCAAUUAAGUCUGAUGUGAAAGCCCCCGGCUCAACCGGGGAGUGUCAUUGGAAACUGGUUGACUGGAGUGCAGAGGAGGAGGGAGGAAUUCCAUGUGUAGCGGUGAAAUGCGUAGAUAUAUGGAGGACCACCAGUGGCGAAGGCGACUCGCUGGUCUGUAACUGACGCUGAGGCUCGAAAGCGUGGGUAGCAAACAGA
rnacentral:rRNA from 1 species